GGAAGAUUUGUUUAGCCCUGCCACGGGAAAACAGUAGGGCUGGUAGAGGGCCAGAUCAGAGAGUGUUUGGUUUGUAUCUCAAACAAUAGUGAGUCCUCAAAAGGAGGACAGAUGAUUACAAUGUUCAUUACAAUUAUUUUGGAUGACAUUACAAGAAGCUUUGGCUACCACUUUAGUCCUAUGAAUAAAUCUGGAUUUUUUUAAUUUUAUUUUUUUAAAUCUCCACACCCCACAAGACUCAGACUAUGCAAGAUUAUUGCUGCUUACUAUGG